rnacentral:rRNA from 1 species
UACGAAGGGGGCUAGCGUUGCUCGGAAUCACUGGGCGUAAAGCGCACGUAGGCGGAUUGCUAAGUCAGGGGUGAAAUCCUGGAGCUCAACUCCAGAACUGCCUUUGAUACUGGCGACCUUGAGUCCGGGAGAGGUGAGUGGAACUGCGAGUGUAGAGGUGAAAUUCGUAGAUAUUCGGAAGAACACCAGUGGCGAAGGCGGCUCACUGGACGACUGUUGACGCUGAGGUGCGAAAGCGUGGGGAGCAAACAGG